rnacentral:rRNA from 1 species
UACGUAGGUGGCAAGCGUUGUCCGGAUUUACUGGGCGUAAAGAGCGCGCAGGCGGUCGUUCAAGUCGCGUGUGAAAGCCCCCGGCUCAACUGGGGAGGGUCACGCGAUACUGAUCGACUCGAAGGCAGGAGAGGGAAGUGGAAUUCCCGGUGUAGUGGUGAAAUGCGUAGAUAUUGGGAAGAACACCGGUGGCGAAGGCGGCGAGCUGGUCCGUAUCUGACGCUGAGGCGCGACAGCGUGGGGAGCAAACAGG